rnacentral:lncRNA from 1 species
UGUCUUUCCAUCUCUUUUUGACUGUCUCUCUCUCUCUGACUCUCUCUCUCUCUCUGUCUCUCUCUGUCUCUGUCUCUCUCUGACUGUCUCUGUCUCUCUCUGAUUCUAUCUCUCUCCAUCCCUCUCUCUUUUUCUUUCUUUGUUUCCCUCUCUCUCUCCUGGGGUUUUCACCACUCUGCUCUUUCUUUCCCUCUGCUUGGCCCGUCUCCAUGAUGCACCUGCUACAGAGGAAGUCCAAGAAGAUGUCGCCGAGGACGAGCAAGAAGAUUACGAGGAAGAGGAGAAGCCUCGACCAAAACUCACUGCUCCUAAGAUCCCAGAAGGAGAGAAAGUCGAUUUCGAUGUA